GAUGAAGAACGCAGCGAAAUGCGAUAAGUAGUGUGAAUUGCAGAAUUCAGUGAAUCAUCGAAUCUUUGAACGCACAUUGCGCCCUUUGGUAUUCCUUAGGGCAUGCCUGUUCGAGCGUCAUUUAAACCUUCAAGCUCAGCUUGGUGUUGGGUGACUGUCCGCUUCACCGCGGACUCGCCUCAAAAUUAUUGGCGGCCGGUACAUUGGCUUCGAGCGCAGCAGAAACGCGAACUCGGGCCCGUCGUAUUGGCUCCCAGAAGCUAUCUUCACAAUUUUGACCUCGGAUCAGGUAGGGAUACCCGCUGAACUUAAGCAUAUCUAAGCGGAGGA
rnacentral:misc_RNA from 1 species